ensembl:lncRNA
CUUUUGUCUUCAAAAUUCUGUGCUCCAUACCCUCCUACAAAAGUAAAUACAAAGUUGCUUGUAUGUAUCUCAGCUCAUUAACAUUUCAAAUUGUCCUUUCUCUCAAAUUUAAAUAAGAAUAGAUCAUUGUCUAUGAGAGGGAUGAAUCAUUUCGAAAACUGAAACUGAUGGUCAGAAUUUGUAUCUCAGAACAUUUUCAGCAGAAAAAUGGGAGGUCUAAUUACAAGAAUGUCUGCUUCUGGGUGUGUGCCAGAAGUUUAACCUAAAACAAAGCAUCAUCGACCAUCAUUCAUCUUUCAGCUUCCAUCCGGAAUAUGGAGACGUUGAAUAUUGACAGAAGACUCAGGAGGAGGGAGAAGGGAAGGAGGAAGAGAAAAAAAGUGGGCUUCAAAGCCAGCAGCCAAAAGCAGAAGAAACAUGAGAGUAGAUUUUCUUGAAUCAGGAAAGGAAGGGAGGGCUGGUGAGAGAGGCCUGCUUGCUUUCUUCGUGUCCUAGAGAAACAGGCUCAAGCUGGACUUCCUGAUAACAAAGCAAUUGUGCAAGGACAGAGUGGACUGAUGGCAACAAAACCCUAUGGUCAAAGGAUCUCCUGAAAACUGAGUAGGUGGUGCUUCCCCAGUGCUUUCUGGUCCAUACAACUUCUUACAUUCCUCUAACACAGUAAUAUAUGAGCCCUCAAAACCUUCCCAGUGGCCCAUCAGAUGACACAGCUAAUAUCUGUUAACAGUACCUUGCUUUUCUGCAAUUCUCUCCCAAAGAAAAUGUUGCAUAUGUGGCAUACUGUGUUAUUUUGGGCAUUUUCUGUCAAGUUGCUAAAUUUUAUGCUUUACAUGGACUGACCUUUACAGUGCUGUAAUCAGCUGGCCUUCAGGUCAAAUUUAAAAAAGAGAGAAGUUAUUCAAUAUAUGUCAGUUUAUAACACGGUUCAUAGUGCAAACUCCCCAGUACACAGCCCUGGCAGAACUGAGGUUCAGGAAAGCUAAUUCCAAUAAUGCCAAUGUUAUGGCAAGACAAGAAGCCAAAGACAUAGAGUCUGCACCGAGGGGACCACUGACAUUCAGAGGAGUGUUAGGAGCACUGAGGAAGGAUGGUGAGGCAGUGGGUGAUGCCAGGGUGAGGAGGAUCUGUUUGUGUACUUGCAUAGCAAGUGCUCUCACAUCAAGGCUGGAACUUUAUCCUUGCUUGGGCAAAUUUGCUUAUAUCUUUUUCAUUAUGUUUUGUUUCAAUCUCUGCUUCCUGCCAUGCUGUAUCAGGAUCCCAUGCGUAUCCCAAAAGGGGACAUUCUGUCACCUAUAUGUAUUCCUUCAUGUCACCAUUUAAAUGCUGGCUACUCUUCAAACUCCUUCCAAGAGGUAUCUGAUAACUGGCUUAGGUUUUUAGUAUCUAUGUUAUCAAAUACUAAAUAAUCACAUCAGGAUACUUAAAGUAAAUGAGGGGCAUGGAUUUGCACAUUCAGCAUUCAGCUUCCCACAAACUCCUUUCUAGAAUAACAGCCCUAGGUUGCUGUUCAGUAAUUGAGUCAUUACUGCAUGGAGAAAAAAUAAAAUUGCUUUCCAAAGAUCCUAAGGGUGUAUACAGUAGGAAGCACGUGCAAAGUUUUCUCAAAAAACUUCUCAAAAAAGCAUUUUUUGUCUUUCUAAGUAAUAUGCUAGAAGAAAUUUUAAGUAACAAUAAGAAAUUGAAUUCAGUGGAUGUGCUGAGGGGUAAUCCUUAGAGAAACCUUAUCUAUCUUGAAUAUUCAAACACAUCAACUUGUUGGGCAUGAUGGCAAUUACUACACUACAUAUAUUCAAUUUGCUCUUGUAUAUACAAUAUUAUCUUCCAUAAGGAAUGGUAAACUGCAGAGCAUAUUUCAGUAAACACUAUUCAGAAUCAACAGAAAUGGCUUGAGUGUGCACUUCCAUGCAUAAUAAUGUAGCAAUGAAAAAUUACUCUGACAAAGCCACCAAGUGUGGGGGAGCUCAUAUCCUCUGAGAAAUUCCUCAGUGCUUGCGGGUUCUUUUCUAAAGGCUGGGAGGGACAUGUUCUGGUGUUUCCUAACCUGAGGUGGAAAUGAUGGUGUUUCUUUCCUCCAGGCAUGUUAAAGGAAAAAUGAAAGCUGUUCUGUUACUAUUGUAGAGACCGUGAUACCAGCAACAAAUCCAGAGACUGCCUAUUUCAUGCAUGUACAUUCACAUGGAUGCAUGUAUGUUGAUGUACAUCCAUAUGUGUACUUAUAUUUACAGUCUUGACUUUCAAGAACCUGCAUUAAAGAACCAGGCCUGUAGUUAAAAAGGAAUGUUUCGACUAAAAUCUUUUUUCAGAAGAUGCUGAUUCAUCAAAGUGAAGGUUUUUGUAGAUCAGGGCAGUUCCUUUGGAAUUUUCCUUUCAAAUUAUAUCAGCUUCUUUCUUAAAACAUUAAAAUGUUUUAUUUAGGAGGUCAAGAUGAUCUUCCUUUUUGGAAUAGAAAGUAAAAUUGAGUCCCAAAAUAGGAAGAAUUAGCAGGUCUAUUUAAAAAUGCAGUAUUUUGAAACUUUCAGAAGAAACCAGCUCACCUGUCCAUCUGAACAUAUGAAAAAGUGAAACAUCAGCAUCUUUCUCACUUGAGAUGGAAUUCUGUUUCAGCUUUCAUUACUUCGAUAAAAUCCCUCCCUUAUUCAAUUUCACACUGACUCUCUAGUUACAGUACUCCUCUACCUUACUGGUUUUGUUCCUCUCUGCAGAAGUUAUGGAUUGUAUUCAAAGACAUUUUCAGCCAGAGUUCAAGGACAUAAGCUUUAUGACCUCUCUGAAGAGGAACCACGUAUUUUCAGGAAAGAAAUGUACCACAGGAUGUGUACACACAUUUUUGGGUUUGCAUGUUUUUCCUUGGUUUUCUCCCCUCUGUGUACUUCAUGCAUGCUAUGUUAAAUAUUUUGGCAUCAGAUUCUCUAUUAAUACAAAUGGAUGGUAAUUCAUUGUAAUCAAAAC